CCCAGAGCUGAGCUCCGUCUGCCCUCCCCGGGGCCCGUGCAGCGGCCAGCGCGGGUCAUAAGCCCUGAGCCCCUGCUUAAUCUGCCAGAGCCCGACUCAGCGCCAGCGGACACGUGACGGCCCGCAGACCUGCUCGGCAGGAGCGGGCAGGCAGCGGGGGAGGGCCGUCCUCCCGGCCUGGGGGCUGUCCCUGCCGCGGCUCCAGCACGCAGCCUGCGGCCCCGGCUCCUGCACGCCGCCGGGAAAGGUAUGCACACAGGAGGAGGGGACGGGCAGAGCAGGGGGGUGAAGGGACUCGCGAGUCACCAAACUGCUGGGCAGGCUGGUGUGCAAGCAUGUGUGCCUGUGUGUGAAAUGGAACCCUCAUCUCACACCAUUUACCAACGCCAAGUACAGAUCUGAUGUAAAAGGUGAAUUCAUGACUGCACGGUAGGAAAGGCUUCUUAAAACACACUCACACAAAUGAAGUUAAGAUCACUCAAAUUAAGACCUCUGAGAGUGAAACGUUCAUUCUAAGACUCCAGGAAGACUGAAAAAUGCAAGAUAUUUACAACAUGUAUAACUGACGAAGGACUGGAAUCUGGAAUACCUAAAGAAUCCUCAAAAUCAACAGCAACAGCAGAAAAUCCGAGAAGACAGCCCGAGGUAGGCAGGAGGCUUCAGCAGUCCCAUCAAGAAGGAGAACCAAACAGCCAGUAAACGUAUGAACACGGCUCAGCCCCACCUGCAAGCAGGAAGGUGCGGAGUAGAACCGUUCGCCACCGGCCAGGCCCCUUGACCACGUCCAAGACCUGAUCCUAGUCCUGAAUCUGGAGAAGCAGAAUGAUGAAGCGCCGCCAUAACACCCUGGAGCAACUGUCUUUAUUAGAACAGCCUGGCACUGAGCGCUCUUCCAAAUCUACAUUACCAUCCUGAUAGCUUUCACUAAGUCCUUAGAUUUUUUUUUUUUUAAGUCAUUGGCUCUGGGAGUCCCGGAGCUAAAAUGGCCCUCCAGGGGAUCUCACCCGAGACACGGGACUCUUCUGGACCACCUCAGGGUGCAUACCUCCGGCAAGGAGAACUCACUGCUUGCUUUCUUGUUUGGCUCUAACUCAGCUCAGCACAACAAAGACUCGCAUUAGCCCCUGGCGCUGGGGAUCAGCAGGUGCCUGGGCCACUGUCCCACCCUCGGGGGAUUCAGAGUCUGGGGAGGAGGAGACUGUUGUCCCGCAGGAUUGCAGUGGCCCAGGCCCAAACUCGCAGACGGAAUGACAGGGGCCCAUCAAGAGCCUGUCUGUCUCGGUCUGCAGAGCCCGAGGGGAUUCUCAGGGUCAGGCCCCUCUGAGCACCUCCCCUAGGCCGUCUGAGUGUGCAAACUGCCCAGCUGUCCGGGCAUGAGGACCCCAGUCAUAGAAGGGACUCCAGCCUGCAGUGGGCAAGAGGGGGCAGCAUCUCCUGUGGGUGCUGCUGGCCGUGGGGCUGACAUCCUUGUUCUGAUCUUACAAUUCUAGAGCCUUCAGGCACAUUAGCAGACGGGUCCACGGCUUCCCAGAUGAAAUGGGAAAGAGUGAGACCCCGUGAUGAGGCCUGGCACAGAGCAGAGGCUGGAAAGACGUUUGCUGGGUUUGAACCGCGACCGUGCUGGGCCAGAAAGCCACAUGCACUCAGCUCUGAAAAGUCACCGCAAACUUGACUGCUUGCACCCUGCCUUUCUAAGCCGGCGCUUGCGUGGUACUCCACGGCGGAGUCCAGGCAGCGGGGGUGGGGUGAGGCGGUGGGUGUCCUGAGGUCAGGCCCACCUCUGGCCGUGCACACUGACCCCUCCCCAGUUCAGGGACGAUGGGACCCCAGGGAAGGAGGACACAGAUUCUGCCUGAGGUGACAUGGAUGCCUGAAGGCCAGCAAAGGUUUUUGGGUGGCAUCGGUGGGGUGGGCCUGGCAGGCACCAAAACGGGCGGGCCGAAGGCUGCCUCCAGUGGGCAGGCAGUGGGCACUGGAAGAUGCUGCUCCUAGAUGUGAGUCUGAGUUACACUUUACGGUGGCCAUGAACACCGUGAGCAACGGUAGGAGGUGGGAGCCCCGGCCUCUACAGGGACCUGCCCAUGUGAUGUUUCUUUUGUAUCAGAAACACGUCCUGACAGGGGCAAGCAA